rnacentral:rRNA from 1 species
GACGAACGCUGGCGGCGUGCCUAAUACAUGCAAGUAGAACGCUGAAGAGAGGAGCUUGCUCUUCUUGGAUGAGUUGCGAACGGGUGAGUAACGCGUAGGUAACCUGCCUUGUAGCGGGGGAUAACUAUUGGAAACGAUAGCUAAUACCGCAUAACAAUGGAUGACACAUGUCAUUUAUUUGAAAGGGGCAAUUGCUCCACUACAAGAUGGACCUGCGUUGUAUUAGCUAGUAGGUGAGGUAACGGCUCACCUAGGCGACGAUACAUAGCCGACCUGAGAGGGUGAUCGGCCACACUGGGACUGAGACACGGCCCAGACUCCUACGGGAGGCAGCAGUAGGGAAUCUUCGGCAAUGGGGGCAACCCUGACCGAGCAACGCCGCGUGAGUGAAGAAGGUUUUCGGAUCGUAAAGCUCUGUAAGUCAAGAACGAGUGUGAGAGUGGAAAGUUCACACUGUGACGGUAGCUUACCAGAAAGGGACGGCUAACUACGUG